AGCUAAUGAGCUUGUAUUAAGCGUAUAUUUUGAAAAUAUAGUAAAGAGGCACUUCUCUAUUAGCUU
rnacentral:tRNA from 1 species